rnacentral:rRNA from 1 species
UUGAAUUAUGUUUUCUAGAUGGGUUGUAGCUGGCUCUUUGGAGCAUGUGCACGCCUGUUUGGACUUCAUUUUCAUCCACCUGUGCACCUAUUGUAGUCUCUGUUGGGUAUUGAGGAAGUGGUCAGCCUAUCAGCUCUUGCUGGAUGUGAGGAUCUGCAGUGUGAAAGCAUUGCUGCCUUUUACUUGGCCAUGGAAUCUUCUUCCCGCAGAGUCUAUGUCAAUCAUUAUACCCUGUAGAAUGUCAUUGAAUGUCUUUACAUGGGCUUGUAUGCCUAUGAAAAUUGUAAUACAACUUUCAGCAACGGAUCUCUUGGCUCUCGCAUCGAUGAAGAACGCAGCGAAAUGCGAUAAGUAAUGUGAAUUGCAGAAUUCAGUGAAUCAUCGAAUCUUUGAACGCAUCUUGCGCUCCUUGGUAUUCCUUGGAGCAUGCCUGUUUGAGUGUCAUUAAAUUCUCAACUCUCUUAUACUUU